UACGAAAGGGGGCUAGCGUUGCUCGGAAUCACUGGGCGUAAAGGGUGCGUAGGCGGGUCUUUUAAGUCGAGGGGUGAAAUCCUGGAGCUCAACUCCAGAACUGCCUUUGAUACUGAAGAUCUUGAGUUCGGGAGAGGUGAGUGGAAUUCCCGGUGUAGCGGUGAAAUGCGCAGAUAUCGGGAGGAACACCAAUUGCGAAGGCAGCUCGCUGGGACGAUACUGACGCUGAGGCGCGAAAGCGUGGG
rnacentral:rRNA from 1 species